rnacentral:rRNA from 1 species
AUUGAACGCUGGCGGCAUGCCUUACACAUGCAAGUCGAACGGUAACGCGGGGCAACCUGGCGACGAGUGGCGAACGGGUGAGUAAUGUAUCGGAACGUGCCCAGUUGUGGGGGAUAACUGCUCGAAAGAGCAGCUAAUACCGCAUACGACCUGAGGGUGAAAGCGGGGGAUCGCAAGGCCUCGCGCAAUUGGAGCGGCCGAUAUCAGAUUAGGUAGUCGGUGGGGUAAAGGCCCACCAAGCCAACGAUCUGUAGCUGGUCUGAGAGGACGACCAGCCACACUGGGACUGAGACACGGCCCAGACUCCUACGGGAGGCAGCAGUGGGGAAUUUUGGACAAUGGACGCAAGUCUGAUCCAGCCAUGCCGCGUGCGGGAAGAAGGCCUUCGGGUUGUAAACCGCUUUUGUCAGGGAAGAAAAGGGCGACUUUAAUACAGUUGCCUCAUGACGGUACCUGAAGAAUAAGCACCGGCUAACUACGUGCCAGCCGCCGCCGUAAAAC